GGUGUGGAUGAGUGGCGAACGGGUGAGUAACACGUGAGUAACCUGCCCCUGACUUCGGGAUAAGCUUGGGAAACUGGGUCUAAUACCGGAUGUGACUACUGGCCGCAUGGUCCGGUGGUGGAAAGGGUUUUACUGGUUGGGGAUGGACUCGCGGCCUAUCAGUUUGUUGGUGGGGUAGUGGCCUACCAAGACGACGACGGGUAGCCGGCCUGAGAGGGCGACCGGCCACACUGGGACUGAGACACGGCCCAGACUCCUACGGGAGGCAGCAGUGGGGAAUAUUGCACAAUGGGGGGAACCCUGAUGCAGCGACGCCGCGUGCGAGAUGACGGCCUUCGGGUUGUAAACCGCUUUCAGUAGGGAAGAAGCGAAAGUGACGGUACCUGCAGAAGAAGUACCGGCUAACUACGUGCCAGCAGCCGCGGUAAUACGUAGGGUACAAGCGUUGUCCGGAAUUAUUGGGCGUAAAGAGCUCGUAGGUGGUUGGUCGCGUCUGCUGUGGAAACGCAACGCUUAACGUUGCGCGUGCAGUGGGUACGGGCUGACUAGAGUGCAGUAGGGGAGUCUGGAAUUCCUGGUGUAGCGGUGAAAUGCGCAGAUAUCAGGAGGAACACCGGUGGCGAAGGCGGGACUCUGGGCUGUAACUGACGCUGAGGAGCGAAAGCAUGGGGAGCGAACAGGAUUAGAUACCCUGGUAGUCCAUGCCGUAAACGUUGGGAACUAGGUGUGGGGUCCAUUCCACGGAUUCCGUGCCGGAGCUAACGCAUUAAGUUCCCCGCCUGGGGAGUACGCCGCAA
rnacentral:rRNA from 1 species